rnacentral:rRNA from 1 species
CCUACGGGAGGCAGCAGUGAGGAAUAUUGGUCAAUGGGCGCGAGCCUGAACCAGCCAAGUCGCGUGAGGGAAGACGGUACUGUGUAUUGUAAACCUCUUUUGUCGGGGAGCAAAAGACGCCACGCGUGCCGUUCCGAGAGUACCCGAAGAAAAAGCAUCGGCUAACUCCGUGCCAGCAGCCGCGGUAAUACGGAGGAUGCGAGCGUUAUCCGGAUUUAUUGGGUUUAAAGGGUGCGCAGGCGGAAGAUCAAGUCAGCGGUAAAAUUGAGAGGCUCAACCUCUGCGAGCCGUUGAACCUGGUGUUCUGGAGUGAGUGAGAAGUAUGCGGAAUGCGUGGUGUAGCGGUGAAAUGCAUAGAUAUCACGCAGAACCCCGAUUGCGAAGGCAGCAUACCGGCGCUAAACUGACGCUCAGGCACGAAAGUGUGGGUAUCGAACAGGAUUAGAUACCCUAGUAGUC